rnacentral:rRNA from 1 species
UACGGGGGGGGCAAGCGUUGUUCGGAAUUACUGGGCGUAAAGGGCUCGUCGGUGGCCAGCUAAGUCAUACGUGAAAUCCCUCGGCUUAACCGGGGAACUGCGUCUGAUACUGGAUGGCUUGAGUUUGGGAGAGGGAUGCGGAAUUCCAGGUGUAGCGGUGAAAUGCGUAGAUAUCUGGAGGAACACCGGUGGCGAAGGCGGCAUCCUGGACCAAUACUGACACUGAUGAGCGAAAGCCAGGGGAGCAAACGGG